CAAUAGCGUAUAUUAAAGUUGUUGCAGUUAAAAAGCUCGUAGUUGGAUUUCUGGUCGGAAGCUCCUGUCCUCUGAUGAGCGUACAAGUGCGUCCUACCAUCCUUCUGUUAACCUCUAAGGCUUUCGCGGCUUUCUAGGGGCUCAGAUAUUUUACCUUGAGAAAAUUAGAGUGUUUCAGGCAGGCUAGCGCCGGAAUACAUUAGCAUGGAAUAAUGGAAUAGGACUUUUGCCUCUUCUGUUGGUCAUGAGGCUCGAGUAAUGAUUAAUAGGGAUAGUUGGGGGCAUUAGUACUUAACUGUCAGAGGUGAAAUUCUCGGAUUUGUUAAAGACUAACUUAUGCGAAAGCAUUUGCCAAGGAUGUUUNCAUUAA
rnacentral:rRNA from 1 species